rnacentral:rRNA from 1 species
GACGAACCGUGCGAACGUUGUUCGGAUUUACUGGGCGUAAAGGGCUCGUAGGUGGCCAACUAAGUCAGACGUGAAAUCCCUCGGCUUAACCGGGGAACUGCGUCUGAUACUGGAUGGCUUGAGUUCGGGAGAGGGAUGCGGAAUUCCAGGUGUAGCGGUGAAAUGCGUAGAUAUCUGGAGGAACACCGGUGGCGAAGGCGGCAUCCUGGACCGAUACUGACACUGAGGAGCGAAAGCCAGGGGAGCAAACGGG